rnacentral:rRNA from 1 species
AAUCUUACCAGAAGUCACUGUCCUAACCGUAAGGAGGGAGGUGCCCAAGGUAAGGUUGAUGAUUGGGGUGAAGUCGUAACAAGGUAGCCGUAGGUGAACCUGCAGAAGGAUCA